UGACAAAUUGUGUGGAACAUGACAUAUG
rnacentral:sRNA from 1 species